rnacentral:rRNA from 1 species
CUAAUAAUUCUCUAGUGGCGCACGGGUGAGUAACACGUGAGUAACCUGCCCCCGAGAGCGGGAUAGCCCUGGGAAACUGGGAUUAAUACCGCAUAGUAUCGAAAGAUUAAAGCAGCAAUGCGCUUGGGGAUGGGCUCGCGGCCUAUUAGUUAGUUGGUGAGGUAACGGCUCACCAAGGCGAUGACGGGUAGCCGGUCUGAGAGGAUGUCCGGCCACACUGGAACUGAGACACGGUCCAGACACCUACGGGAGGCAGCAG